AUUAGCCCAAUUUUGAUCAAAUUCAAUUAAUUGGAGGCAAAGAAAUCAGUCUGCCCUAACUCUGCGACUUCCCCCUUUCGCGAGCUUUUCUGUAUCAACCAGAGAAGUGUUGUUGUUGUUAUACAAGGAACUGGAAGCAAUGGUAGAGGGGGUCAAACAUAAACCUAGGAAGGAGCGAGAAUCGAAAAGGAUUAGCGGUCAUCGAGAUGGCGAAAAGGAGAAGAAUGGAGAGAGGAGACAUAGGGGAAAAGAUAGAGAUUUUAAGAGAGAUGGUGAUUCUAGUCGUUCCGCGAGAGACAAGUUAGAUAGAGAUGAGAGAGAUUGUGAUUCUAGUCGUUCCACGAGAGACAAGUUUUGUGAUUCUGAGGACGAGAGGUAUGAGGUAGAGAAGCGGCAUCGAGGAGAUAGGGAGAGCGGUAGUCAUAGGAGGACUAGAGAUAAAGAGAUGGAGAGGGAGAAAGACAAAGAGAGGGGGAAAAGAGAGAGGGCUAGAGAGAAGGAAAGGGACAGAGAUCGAAAGAGAAGGGUGCGGAGUGAUGAUGUAGAUGAGGAGGAGGAGGAGGAGGAGGAUGUUAGGGAGAGUGAUAGGAAACGGCGUAGGAAAGAUGACAAGGAGAAUGCGGAGAGAGUGAGGGAAAGGAGUAACAGCAGGUCAGAUAGACAUAGGGAUGGUCAAGUUGAGAGCCCGGUAAAGAAGAGUGAUGAAGAUGAUUCAGUUAGGAAAGAGAAGAAUCCGAUCUCUGAGGUGGUGGAGGAGGAUUUAGAGGAUGAGCAGAGGAAAUUAGAUGAGGAAAUGGAAAAGCGGAGGAGGAGAGUUCAGGAGUGGCAGGAGUUAAGAAGAAAGGAGAAAGAAGCUGAGGGAGAGAAGCACGUGGAAGGGGAUGUUGAUAAACACAAGUCUAAAAAGACCUGGACACUUGAGGGAGAAUCUGAUGAUGAAGAAGAGACCGGUAUGGACGUUGAUGGAGAAGCCUAUCUCACUGACAAAGAGGAUGGAGCCGUCAUGGAGGUUCAUUCUGAGAAUGAAACAGCUGCACCUGCUUUGCAGGAUGAUGAAAUUGAUCCAUUAGAUGCUUUUAUGAAUUCUACAGUGCUGCCUCAAGUUGAGAAGCUGGCCAAUGCUGCAGAUCAACCAGUAGUUGCUGGUGAAAAAGGUUCAAACAAAUCUUUGGGCAGAAUAAUUCCUGGGGAGGAUUCUGAUUCGGAUUAUGGGGACUUUGAGAAUGAUGGCGAUCCCUUAGAAGACGAAGACGAUGAUGAGUUCACAAAAAGGGUGACAAAGACAAAAGUGGAUAAACUUUCUCUAGUGGAUCACUCAAAGAUAGAUUAUGAACCAUUCAGGAAAAAUUUCUACAUUGAGGUGAAGGAGGUCUCAAAAAUGACCCCAGAAGAUGUGGGUGCAUACCGAAAACAAUUGGAAUUGAAGAUACAUGGUAAGGAUGUCCCAAAGCCCAUUAAGACCUGGCACCAAACUGGACUUACAAAUAAAAUCUUGGAAAUGAUAAAGAAGCUCGACUAUGAAAAGCCAAUGCCAAUUCAGGCUCAGGCAGUGCCUAUAAUUAUGAGUGGACGAGACUGCAUUGGCAUUGCAAAAACUGGCUCAGGCAAAACCCUUGCAUAUGUGCUGCCAAUGCUGAGGCAUAUCAAGGAUCAGCCACCUGUGGUAGCUGGAGAUGGGCCUAUUGGCCUUAUAAUGGCACCAACGAGGGAGCUUGUUCAGCAGAUUCACAGUGUUAUAAACAAGUUUGCCAAGACACUGGGUCUCAGGUGUGUGCCUGUAUAUGGAGGUUCUGGUAUUGCCCAACAGAUUGGGGAGUUGAAGCGGGGUGCUGCAAUUGUUGUCUGUACCCCCGGUAGGAUGAUUGACAUACUUUGUACAAACGGAGGGAGGAUAACAAAUCUGCAGAGAGUAACUUACUUGGUUGUGGAUGAAGCUGAUCGAAUGUUUGACUUGGGUUUUGAACCUCAAAUCAAUCGAAUUGUUCAGAAUAUUCGGCCAGAUCAUCAGACUCUAUUGUUUUCUGCCACGUUCCCUCACCAGGUUGAAGUCUUAGCACGUAAAGUCUUAAACAAACCUGUGCAUAUACAGGUUGGUGGUAAGAGUGUUGUAAACAAGGACAUUACACAAUUUGUUGAAGUGAGGUCCGAAAAUGAAAGGUUUGUUAGAUUAUUAGAGAUACUUGGGGAAUGGUAUGAGAGAGGAAAAAUUCUGGUGUUUGCCAAAGCACAUGCAACGUGUGACACUGUGCUUAGGGAUCUGCUUAGGCAUGGAUAUCCUUGUCUCUCACUUCAUGGGAACAAAGAUCAAACAGAUCGUGAAUCCACCAUAUCUGAUUUUAAGAGCGAUGUGUGUAAUUUGUUAAUUGCAACUAGUCUUGCUUCUAGAGGGUUAGAUGUUAAAGGGGUUGAGCUGGUGAUCAACUUUGAUACUCCAGAUCACUACGAGGACUAUGUUCACCGUGUUGGUCGUACAGGCCGAGCUGGCAAGAAAGGUUGUGCUAUAACGUUCAUCUCUGAGGAAGAUGCUAAGUAUGCGCCAGAUCUUGUCAAAGCAUUGGAACUCUCCGAGCAAGCUGUUCCAGAUGAUCUUAAAUCUCUUGCUGAUGGUUUCAUGGCAAAAAUAAAGCAGGGACUAGAGCAGGCCCAUGGGACUGGUUACGGCGGCAGUGGUUAUAAAUUUAAUGAAGAGGAAGAUGAAGCAAGGAAAGCAGCAAAGAAAGCACAGGCCAAAGAAUAUGGUUUUGAGGAUGACAAGUCAGAUUCAGAAGAUGAAGAUGAUGGUGUCAGAAAGGCUGGGGGUGACAUUUCACAGCAGGCUGCCCUUGCUCAAAUAUCAGCUAUUGCUGCUGCCUCUAUUGGUGGUACGGCUUCAGUUCAGACCCCUGUCUCUGCUGCCCAACUGCUUCCUAAUGGUGGAUUACCUGUUUCUCUUCCCAGUGUCCUUGGUGGUGCAACGUUGCUAGGAACAGCAGCUGUUUUUCCUGGGAUGGGUCUGAAUCUUGUUGGACAUGAAGGGGCAGCUCGAGCAGCAGCAAUUGCAGCUGCCAUGAAUUUGCAGCAUAACCUAGCAAAGAUUCAAGCUGAUGCAAUGCCCGAGCACUAUGAAGCAGAGUUGGAAAUAAAUGAUAUUCCCCAGAAUGCUCGAUGGAAGGUUACCCACAAGGAAACUUUGGGCCCUAUAUCAGAGUUGACUGGAGCUGCCAUUACUAUUAGGGGUCAACAUUUCCCACCAGGCAAGGUUCCAGGGCCAGGAGAUCGCAAGCUUUACCUGUUUAUUGAGGGUCCUACUGAACAAUCUGUCAAGAGAGGUAAAUCAGAACUAAAACGCAAGUUGGAAGAAAUCAUGAAUCAGUCAUUAUCACUUCCCGGCGGCGCUCAGCAACGCAGAUAUCAAGUUAUAUAAGUGAGAACUUGAUUCCAACUUACUUUAUGCAUAAUUUUAUCUGCUUAUGCUGAACUCAACCUGACUCUCAGUUCUUUGUUUAUUGUUUCGCAAUCACCUAAUGAGUUUCUAUAUUGAAUUGUUCUGAUUAAUAGAAUAUUUGUCUUUCCAAAUGUCCUAUCUAUCCUGCUAAUCUUUCAUAUCCAACUUGUACGAGAACCUGCCCUGUUAAUCUCUAAAUGAAAUCUCAGUAAUCUAAUUACGGUUAACGAUUGUUAUUUAGAACUUGUUUUAUUUUUACUUGGAAUAGUCAGAUACAUGUUGGAUUCACUAUGUACAUAGUUAUGAUUUGUUGUCUUGCUUUGCACAAUUUUCAGUCCCGCUUUUGAUCUUUUUUCUUUUCUUUUGUUUGUCAUUUCCCCUGGUGCGAGGGACAUUAUGUGCUUAUGCUCGCAUGUUCAAUAUUGUCUCUGCCCUUAUGAAGCUGUCCAAAAGAUGCGAACGUGGUGCAAUUCUUCAGUUUGAAGGGAUGUUUUGUUUGGGAGUUGCUGGAGCCGAUCAGCUGCCCUAUAAAAUGGAUUUGCUUUUGCGGUGCUAUAACGGGUUACUGAGUUCUUUCAGAGAUAACUAACCCUGCGCACUUUGCUGUAGUUUUGCCGCUUUUGGACUUCACUUUUUGAUUGUCAUGGUCGUUUUAUUUGUUGCAAAUGCCUUUUAUGAUCUGAAUUUCAAAUCGCAGGCUAUGCCUUUGCUUUCUAGUAAAGAUUUUCAAUUUUGGUUUGUUUUUAUGUUCACAUGAUUUUCAUUAGCAGGUUUAAUUUGUCGUCUUUCUCGUGGAGGCGAUCUUAUAAGGAACACGGUAGUUGACCAACACAUUGAUGAUAUACUGAUGUCCUUUUUGUUCUUUUCAGCUGGAACUAGCAAUGGAUCAUAAGCCAGUGGAAAUGUCAUGCCAAAGUGGCCGCGGAAGACAUCACGGGACUGAAACUUGAAUUUCCAUGGCAGCAAACUGUUUACCUGCGUUCUGAGGAGUGUUCUUUUAUACUAUAUUUGGCAUGUAAGAUAUCUACACAAUUUUUUGCAGAAACCCGAAAUUUACUCAAAAGUGAAAGGUUCAAUGUAAAAUUCAUAAAUAUGAAUGUUUUAAGAAACAGCGUUCUUGUUCA